UGACUCACUCACAAAAUAUUCCCGAGUGGCUGCUUCACUUCAGAUGCUGGAACACUGCUGUAGAACCAGUCUCCAGUCAACAGAUGAGAUGUCUGCCCAAAGGGAGGACAGAGAAGGCAACAAAUGGGAGAACUAACAACAAACACUACACUUAUAGAUGAGGACAGUAGGGAGGAAUUCACAGGAAAGCAGGAAGGAUGCUUGGGUGUAUAUCUCUGUGAUAGAGAGGAGCAGAAAAAGAUAAAUUAAGGGCAAUUCUCUCCAUGGCUCUGGGAAAGAAGUCUGGGUAGAGAACUGAGACAUGAUCCUGAUGUCCAGAUGGGUCUUUAGUAGACUGGCUGGCUGGAAAAAGUCCUGGGUUGGACAUGGGAGAAGAAACAAGCUGGAUGCUGAAGGACACGCCAGCCCAACAGACCUUUGGAUUUCCAUGUAAGCAAAAUAAGAAAUGCACCAGAGAGGAAGGUAUGUAUGCUCUGGUGCAUUUGCAGCUCACUAUGAUUGCUGGUCUGCAGGAAGCCUCAAGGGAAAAGCUACUAAGCCCAAAUGAGAUGGAAGUUGGCUCAUCCGUAGUGUCGCCUGGAUCUGGGAAUGACUGAGGAGUUCAGGAUACAUGGGGGAAGUAUGAAACUAACCAAGAUGGAGAAGUAGGAAGAAUCACCAACGCAAGGCUCUUUCCAGCCAGAAUGGUUGAAAGAAUAAUAGGAAAGAGAAGGGAGUAUGCCAGGUUGCCCAGUGAGCAGGGCUGAUGGAUGAAACAAGGAUGGUCUGCAGCACCCUCUGGUGGCCACAAUUCAAAUCCAUCUACUUUCUUCAAGGGCAUUUGAUGAGCUGCACAGCCACAUCUUUUGUAAGGAGAAAAAAACAACAAAAUGACCUCCAUGACUGGCGUGACAGCUUCAAGGACAUAUUGCACUAUGACCUUGGAGGUCUUCAGCAGGUAUGUCCGGCCCAUUUGGCUCCACACAGGUCCACUUCUCUGUCUGGAU
ensembl:lncRNA